rnacentral:rRNA from 1 species
AUACGGAGGAUCCGAGCGUUAUCCGGAUUUAUUGGGUUUAAAGGGUGCGCAGGCGGCCAUUUAAGUCAGCGGUUAAAUCGUGGGGCUCAACCCCAUUCUGCCGUUGAUACUGGGUGGCUUGAUUGCGGUCGAGGUUGGCGGAAUUCGUUGUGUAGCGGUGAAAUGCAUAGAUAUGACGAAGAACACAGAUUGCGUAGGCAGCUGACCAGACCGCAAAUGACGCUCAUGCACGAAAGUGCGGAGAUCGAACAGGAUUAGAUACCCUGGUAGGCCGCACAGUAAACGAUGAAUACUUGUUUUCGGCGAUAUAAUGUCGGAGGCAAAGCGAAAGCGAUAAGUAUUCCACCUGGGGAGUACGCCGGCAACGGUGAAACUCAAAUGAAUUGACGGGG